rnacentral:rRNA from 1 species
CCUACGGGAGGCAGCAGUGAGGAAUAUUGGUCAAUGGACGAGAGUCUGAACCAGCCAAGUAGCGUGAAGGAUGACUGCCCUAUGGGUUGUAAACUUCUUUUAUAUGGGAAUAAAAUGUUCCACGUGUGGGAUUUUGUAUGUACCAUAUGAAUAAGGAUCGGCUAACUCCGUGCCAGCAGCCGCGGUAAUACGGAGGGUCCGAGCGUUAUCCGGAUUUAUUGGGUUUAAAGGGAGCGUAGGUGGGUUGUUAAGUCAGUUGUGAAAGUUUGCGGCUCAACCGUAAAAUUGCAGUUGAAACUGGCAGUCUUGAGUACAGUAGAGGUGGGCGGAAUUCGUGGUGUAGCGGUGAAAUGCUUAGAUAUCACGAAGAACUCCGAUUGCGAAGGCAGUUCACUGGACUGCAACUGACACUGAGGCUCGAAAGUGUGGGUAUCAAACAGGAUUAGAUACCCGAGUAGUC